ensembl:lncRNA
CGAAGGGCCAUUUUCAAGGAAGUUGGACAGAAGGAUGUCCAGUUCUUCCAAGAAAUGACCUAAAGAGCCUGGCAGACGGAACAUCAGAGGACCUGGGCCGUGCUGCUCCUCUGACCCCCUGUGCAACUUUACCGAAGGACAUCCUGAAGACAAACAAUGGCAGAGAACAAAGUUAGUCAGCGGUUCCCAAGCUCCCGUCUGCCGUCACACUCAACACGAACUAUAAUGCCAGGAUGGACAUGACACUAUGCUGACAGCUGAGCAUGUUCUAGAGCGGCGCCCUGCGGCAGACUUCUGUGUUCGGA